UAGGGAAUCUUCGGCAAUGGACGAAAGUCUGACCGAGCAACGCCGCGUGAGUGAAGAAGGUUUUCGGAUCGUAAAACUCUGUUGUUAGAGAAGAACAAGGACGUUAGUAACUGAACGUCCCCUGACGGUAUCUAACCAGAAAGCCACGGCUAACUACGUGCCAGCAGCCGCGGUAAUACGUAGGUGGCAAGCGUUGUCCGGAUUUAUUGGGCGUAAAGCGAGCGCAGGCGGUUUCUUAAGUCUGAUGUGAAAGCCCCCGGCUCAACCGGGGAGGGUCAUUGGAAACUGGGAGACUUGAGUGCAGAAGAAGAGAGUGGAAUUCCAUGUGUAGCGGUGAAAUGCGUAGAUAUAUGGAGGAACGCCAGUGGCGAAGGCGGCUCUCUGGUCUGUAACUGACGCUGAGGCUCGAAAGCGUGGGGAGCAAACAGG
rnacentral:rRNA from 1 species